AACGCACCUUGCGCUCCCUGGUAUUCCGGGGAGCAUGCCUGUUUGAGUGUCAUGAACUCUUCAACCCACCAGUUUCUUGUAGACUGAUUGGUGUUUGGAUUUUGAAUGUUGCUGAUCCCUCGGGAUGUAGCUCGUUCGUAAUAUAUUAGCAUCUCUAAUUCGAAAUCGGAUUGACUCAGUGUAAUAGACUAUUCGCUGAGGACACCUUUGGGUGGCCGAAAUAGAAACCAGUAGAAGCUUCCAACUUUUAUAGUCAAUUUUAGAUUAGACCUCAGAUCAGGCAGGAUUACCCGCUGAACUUAA
rnacentral:misc_RNA from 1 species